AGCAUUUUCAACUAUUUCACAUAACAAAAUCUGUUGGUUUAAAUACAAAAUUCUGCUGAAAUAUUGAAGAAGCCUCUUUUUCCGAAGGGAGUCGAGCUAAUGGCCAUGAGAAAUUAUGUUGAGAGAAGAUUAUCUGUGGAAUAUUAGUGAAAACGAAUUGCCUGAUCAACAGAUUCCCUGUACACAUUACAUCGCAUCCAUUGGUAGGUGGCUAAGUCGCUCGUCAAUUUUACUACUCUGUUAAUGUACUCAUAACUGUCGAUGCUACUAAUUGCUAUUUCGUAUUAAAAACGAGUAUGGAAUGUUAA